GACGAACGCUGGCGGCGUGCCUAAUACAUGCAAGUAGAACGCUGAAGGAGGAGCUUGCUUCUCUGGAUGAGUUGCGAACGGGUGAGUAACGCGUAGGUAACCUGCCUGGUAGCGGGGGAUAACUAUUGGAAACGAUAGCUAAUACCGCAUAAGAGUAGAUGUUGCAUGACAUUUGCUUAAAAGGUGCAAUUGCAUCACUACCAGAUGGACCUGCGUUGUAUUAGCUAGUUGGUGGGGUAACGGCUUACCAAGGCGACGAUACAUAGCCGACCUGAGAGGGUGAUCGGCCAAACUGGGACUGGGACACGGCCCAGACUCCUACGGGAGGCAGCAGUAGGGAAUCUUCGGCAAUGGAAGGAAGUCUGACCGAGCAACGCCGCGGGAGUGAAGAAGGUUGUCGGAUCGUAAAGCUCUGUUGUAAGAGAAGAACGAGUGUGAGAGUGGAAAGUUCACACUGUGACGGUAGCUUACCAGAAAGGGACGGCUAACUACGUG
rnacentral:rRNA from 1 species